rnacentral:sRNA from 1 species
CUUAACAAAGCUGGACAAAGGUUCGUUCAAUUGACCAAACACGAAUGGAGCACUCACGUUAACCGAUCGCUGUCUGCAGGGACAUCUUUUAGCGUGCGUGGUUUCCAAGGAGACUACGAUGUGGUUGUCCUGUACCAUGACAAACCCAUCAAGCGGCAGACGUUUACUUUGGGCAAAAGUGACCUCACAGUGGACGUCAACAUAUCUGGAACUGGACAACAAAUUACUGUUCCUGUCCAGAGAUAUCCGUUUUAAAGUGAAAGGAAUUAAUUUUGUAUCAAGAAUUUGAUGACUCAUUAUCAUAAAGGAUGAAAAGAAUGAUGACCAUGUUUGAUGUAAUAAAGGCUAAUAAUAAUUAAA